rnacentral:rRNA from 1 species
GAUGAACGCUAGCGGCAGCUUAAUACAUGCAAGUCGAGGGGCAGCACAGGUAGCAAUACUGGGUGGCGACCGGCAAACGGGUGCGGAACACGUACGCAACCUUCCCAAAACAGGUGAAUAGCCCUCCGAAAGGAGGAUUAAUACACCGUACCAUAUGGAUGCGGCAUCGCAACCAUAUUAUAGAUAGCAAUAUCGGUUUUGGAUGGGCGUGCGCCUGAUUAGGUAGUUGGCGGGGUAACGGCCCACCAAGCCUCCGAUCAGUAACUGGUGUGAGAGCACGACCAGUCACACGGGCACUGAGACACGGGCCCGACUCCUACGGGAGGCAGCAGUAAGGAAUAUUGGUCAAUGGACGCAAGUCUGAACCAGCCAUGCCGCGUGCAGGAUGAAGGCCCUCUGGGUUGUAAACUGCUUUUAUCUGGGACGAAAAAAGGGCUUUCUAGCUCGUCUGACGGUACCAGAGGAAUAAGCACCGGCUAACUCCGUGCCAGCAGCCGCGGUAAUACGGAGGGUGCAAGCGUUAUCCGGAUUUACUGGGUUUAAAGGGUGCGUAGGUGGGUAGGUAAGUCAGUGGUGAAAUCUUCGAGCUUAACUCGGAAACUGCCAUUGAUACUAUUUAUCUUGAAUUAUCUGGAGGUAAGCGGAAUAUGUCAUGUAGCGGUGAAAUGCUUAGAUAUGACAUAGAACACCCAUUGCGAAGGCAGCUUACUACGGAUAUAUUG